UACGGAGGGUGCGAGCGUUACCCGGAUUUACUGGGUGUAGAGGGCGUGUAGGCGGCUAUCUAAGCCCGAUGCUAAAGACUGAGGCUCAACCUCAGGAAUGCGUUGGAUACUGGGUAGCUAGACGGUCGGAGAGGGUAGCGGAAUUUCCUGAGUAGCGGUGAAAUGCGCAGAUACAGGAAGGAACGCCAAUAGCGAAAGCAGCUACCUGGACGAUUUGUGACGCUGAGGCGCGAAAGCGUGGGGAGCAAACCGG
rnacentral:rRNA from 1 species